UACAUUUGUACCUGGGACCAAGUUGACCUGGAAGUGGAACUGAGUUGGCCAUGCUGUCUCAGACGAUCAGACCCGUCUGUUAGGGACCGAGUCGGUAACAGUCUUGUGGUGGUUGGGUACGGAGUUUACUCGAAACCCAUGUAAUGCAUGCUCUUGUUCUCGUUGUGUACAAACACAAACGUCACGUUACUGUACAUGAACUUGAAUGUGUACUUUAAUUUGCCAUCUAGACCUAUGGGUUGUCUCUCGGACGCUGUGGAGGAGGUUUGCCUACAGUUCUUCUUAUGCGGAGUGUACGGCAUUCCACCAUGACACGCAGAUGACGUACCCUGCCCUGACGAAGGAUACCUUCAGAAAAUUUGACAAUUUUCAUCGGUUUUGAAGAGUUUCCUCCUAUUUCUGGAUUGAAGAUGG